GGAAGAAAGAAGAAAAAACAAUAGAAAAAAAAAGUAAAUAGAUGCUAAGGAGGUUUCUCCUCUCCAAGCACUCAUCUGGCAUUCCUACAAGGCUGAUUCCUAUAAGUCCUGAGGUCUGCUGAAGUAAAAAAACACCAGAAAUCAACUGAGAAAGCACAGAACUGCCUGCCCCCAGUGUCUUGGCCUCACAUCACUCCACUCGUGAAUUUGGAAGCAGCAUCCUGAAGCCUGGCUGCCUGGCUGCUAUAGCCCAUAACCAGCCAGCUCAAAAGAAUAGGAACACUCAAGCAUAACUGGUGAAAGAUGAAAGCCACCUUCUCCUUUCCACCCUCUCAUCUCCCAUUGCAAAUGUAUCGAUUCAGAAAGCAAAACAAACAUCACAUUAAGUAUUAGCAAGCAGCAUACAAGCACCUCUAUUUCAUCUUUAAGGCAAGAAGUAUAAGGAAGUAAGAUAUUAGAAUUUGUUUUUUAAAAAGAUUACCUCAGUUUACCUCAUUGAAAAAUGCUACCUGGAAAGAAAAGCCAGUUUGGAUCAGGACAGCUUUUCACAGGCUGCUCUCUAACUUACUCUGCUAGAGCAAACCCGUCCUGCUUUCCUUUAUUUCCAAGGUAAGGAAAAACGGCAUUAACCCAUAUAACAGACUGGCAGCAACAGAAACUGUUCUGCCCAAACAAUAACAGUGCCUGCUAGCAAACAGCCCCAGGAUAUCCCUAGAAAGGCACUCAACCCCUGCGAGCCCCAUCAGACCGAGGAGCACUCCCCCACACCCCCACCCACGAAGAAGGAAGGCACUGCCCUGACCUUGCUGCUCCUCAGCCAUUGCCCACGGCAGCACUGAGUGACACUCCACACCUGGAGGGCAGCCCUGCCGCAGGUGUUAUAGCCCAGGGCCAGGGGGCCCCUCAGCAGCUGCUUUAAAGGAGCAGAGCUGUGAAGGGAAGGAAGAAGGCGUUCUUAGUGGCCUUGUUUUUUUCAUUUGUUUGUUUGUUUGUUCUCAGUGAAGUAGCUAAUCCAAUAGUUAACAAGCACCUGAACUCUCCAGUUAAAAUUUUCUGAUGUCAAUCAGUAAAGUAAAGCAGCUUUUUUAAUAGCAUCAGACCAACAUCCUUUGUGCAGCACCCUGAAUUACCAGUGUUGACAAUUCAAGACUUUCUAUCACGCAGCUUUUCCUAUGUCCUGGGACCCCUGGGACUCUGCUGAGUUCAUCAGAGGGUCAGGGCCUAAAUGAGAUUCUGGAUUGUAUGAGUUGUUUUUUGUACGAAAGAGAACAGAACUGCCUGGCAAUUGCUCUGCAAGACACGGCAUCUGUGCUUGGUCCUGCUGCCCCCCCCCCCCCAUCCACUCAGCAACAGCCAAAAUUAACACAAAACCAACUAAAUACCAAGCAAGGUGAGCACAGCGUGCUGGUUGUGGCAAGGAAUUGCCUUAGCAAUCCUAUUAGCAUAGACAGGACACUGUUUCUGCAAUAAAAUAAGGGCUGGUUGCUAAGUGACAACAACGUGCUUGUCUAUCCUAACAUUUACAAACUCAAAACUUAAAACUAAAAGGAAAAAUAGAAAGGAAAAAAGCACAUACGCAGCUCUUGCACCUUCAAAGCAGAAAAAAAAUAAUCUGGACGUCCACAAAUAAUCUAGAUUUUUUUAAAUUGCCGUUGUAUUUCACAUAGAAAAGGUUCAGCUAGUGUAGCUAUGGACAGCAUUGUGAAAUUCUAAUAUACUGACACAAAAAAAGGCGGUUAAAAGCAAUGCAUGGAAAACCCACUUGAAAGUCUUGAAAAAGAAGCAAUUACACAAGGAAAUAAUUAAUGUUAUAACUGAUCAGCUUUAAAUGAUACGAAUGCCCGGUGUUCAGAUGGUGAGUCUUUAGCUGAAUGCUUAAAAUCAACUGUUUCCCCUAAUCCUCUAUUUCUCUCACGGUAGGGAGAAGCUGGACUCAUCACAAAAGCCAACAGGUUUUUUUAACUCCAUAGUAACCAGCCCUGGUGAUCCCUGUCCAAAUUCCUGGGCUAGACAAUACCAGUGCUUGUGCUUAAUGCCAUGCUUUAGCAACCAGGAAUAAAUCAGAAACCAGCUUUAGGAAAUUUGGUCUAUUGUUUAUUUGAACAGCCCUUAUUAUACGGAGAUGUUUCUGUUAGCAUUUACUUUCAUUAUUCUUUUGUUCUUUCACUUUCCUUUCCAUUCUCCCUCCACUCCCUAUUUUUUUUUCACUCUUCUUGUUUACUGCUUAUAACUUUCUCUAUAUUCCCUCCCCCAUUUGUAUUUCAAAUACUUUCAUAUACUUCAAGUUUAUAAAAAUUCUACAGAAUUCCACUCUGCUGAAAUGCUUGGCUUGAACCUGACACACACACAUGUAGUGUAUCACAGAGUGUGGCAGCCUACUUGAAUGAAAGGAGUUGUAGAUCUGUCUUCUUCCAAGUUAACAUGGGCUGCUUUGGAGAACAAUACUCCACAUAACUCCCAAACUGACAGCCAGGGGGUAAAGUGAAAGUGGGUCCUAAUUCUCUUUCCACUUUUUUUUUUUGGGGGGGGGGGCUGUAAGCAGGUAACAUCCACAGAAGACGAUUUGGAUACACAGAGAUGAAAACUGUAUAACACUGCAAAUCAUAGAAUCACAGCAUCAUAGAACCAUAGAACCAUAGGAUGCCUCUGGUUGGAAGGGACCUUAAAGAUCAUCCAGUUCCACAUCCAUAAUUAUAAAGGAAAAGUAUUUUCUUUCAGUUUUUUCAGUCUGAUGUUUUAUCUGAAUUGGAAAUUGCAUUUGAUUUCUGUCUUCUUUUCGAUUUUUUUUCUCCCUUUUCUAAGUCUUUACUGUGGCUGCAUCUGCUGGAACUGGGGGUGGAGAGAGGGAGAAGUGUGAUUUACGCUGGUGGAGCUUGCUGCUGAAUUCACUGGUGUUACUUGUGUGAGGUAAAGCUAAGCUUACAUAUAUGCCUCGUGGCUAGGACUGAGUAUGAGUAUCUGCCCCAAGAUCAGGAUUUUUCCAUUAACCAUUUAGGUCUGCUGAUAUUUUCUAUCAUUCUUCAGGUGUUUUUGUUUGUUUGUUUGUUUGUUUCUUCGUUUGCUUUUUUUUCUUUCUUUUUUUUUCCAAAGCAUAAAGCUCCUUUUUAUAUGAUGCUAACAAAUACAUUUCUAUCUAAUUAUCUAUAUUCAAUUUUUCUUUCAUCCUUUUGGUUUCUGCUGCUUCUCUGUUCAAGCAUUUGACUGCUUUCUCAGUUCUGUUCUUCAUUUUUGUUCUAUUUUGAAAUCCUCUUGUGUGGGUUUCAUUCUAAUUCUUCUUCUAACAGUUCACUCACAGAUCUUUUCUCUUCCCAGUGCAUGUCAUCUGUCUUUCUCAACAGGUAACAUACAUUCUCUGUCUCUGGCUUCCAGAUAUUAGCACAUUUAUUCUUGAUUUUCAAGUGACAAUAGAAGUGAUUAAUUUCAUGCAGUUACUUGUGAUCACCAAGUUGACAAAAAGGAGCCUUACAAGCAAGGACUGUCUCUGAAAACUCAUGCUUAACAUAAGAUUACCUCUUCUCUGCUGCAAUCCACCAGAUUAUUGAAGGAUGUUGCUGGGAGGAUGGAGAAAAGGAUAUGGAGAUAACUGUCACAAAAACAGAACAGUUCUUCCCGAAAUCAAGAACCAUAGAAUUGCUGUUGGUGGCACUGGCUCUUUCAUAACCAGUUACGUCUUAUGCAGAUCGCAAUGCCAGUCAUGGACCUUCAACAUGUCUUGGAUGUUCCAUACUAUGUCUAAAGAGACAUACUACUUGCAAAGAGGGUGGAGAGAGAGAACAUCCAGGGUGAAGUGAAAGAAGGCAGAAGGAGGUGUACCCAGGGCAUCCACAGCCAUUCCUACCUGAUUCUUCUAAUACAGAGGGCGAGAUGGCAGCUGGAUGUGGGAAUCUAAUAAAUGAUGGUGCCUCACCUUUCAAGCCCUGCAUUUGCUUCCUCUGUGGGUCUCUAUGAAUGGAGCAUGACUGACGCAAGUUCAGGAUGUUAGGCACCUGAGUUAGAAGAAAGCCAGCGAUGGAUCAAAAGCUCUUUCCACCAACUGAUGAACGAUUGGGUCCAAAGGCCCAGGACGGUGCUUGGUGGCAGGUACGAAAUACCUCAGCCCCAGUCAGUUGCUCUUACACCGCCCCUUCUGCUUCUGUGGCCAGGCUACCACAACAACAGAAAAGGGUAUUUUUUUAGCUGAAUCAGUUUCCUAGUCAGGCCCUAUGAUGGCCAUGCCCUGGAGCAUAGCAGAGUGCACAGUCCAAAGCAGGUGAUGCCUCUGUUUGCCCUAGCACAGUGCCACUGAAAGUUACUGGCCAACCCUAAGCACUUGUUAUUUCUCUCAGCUUGAGCUACUGUGUCUAAGCAGAUCAGUAGACAAAGGCUUUUUAUGUCUAGAUUAAUGAUAUAUCUAAAUAGUUACAAUGACAAGAAUAAAAAGUGGAAGAACAGUUUUCCUGUUCCCUAGGAUGAAGAAUACAGCAAAAUGUCAACUCUUCCUGGUAAAAUUGGCUGAACUUCAGCUUUUGACAGUAUUGCAGUCUAUUGUGGUAUGACUAUUUUACAUUCAUGGCCAGCAUGCAAAGUCUCUGAGCACAGAUUAGAUUUUCAUUAAUAUAGUUAUAUAUCUUUUGGCCACAGUGCAUCAAACCCCUGUUACUCACAAGGGAAUCAAAUAGAAGUUCAAUUUCAUUCUUAUUCUAAAGGUAGAGAUAUUAUUCAUUAGAAUAGUCUUAGUUCUGCUCUAUUUUUUUCCCUCCUGUAAAACAGGAACAAAGUGUAUUUUUAUUUUGAACUGACUUUUAUCUAACAAUUGUAAGUCUAUACAGAAAAGUUUACAAAACAUAUUCUGUGCAAAAGGUACUUCUAGUUAGGUUGGAGUUAACAUCAUUUAAAUAUCGAAAUGAAGUUAAUCUCUGCAAAGUUAAGGCCUAUUUUUAAGUAAUAAGAACAUGUGGACAUUUUCUUAUUUAUGGAACAAUUGAGCUAACCAUGCAAUUAACCCUCUGAAUUAAAAAAAAAAGAAAAGACAAUUGCUGAGAUGAAUGAGCAUUGAAAUGAAACGAUUGAAAUGAUGCUUAUUCUAUGAAAUUAGCCUUAAUCCUGUGCCAUUUGUGUUGGUGGAGAUGAAUAAAUUGUGAAUCAAAUUAAAAACAAUCCCACAGACCUCAGCCUUAUUCCCACCGAAAUUCUGAAGUUGGCAUGAGCAGAUUUGUGAAGUGAAAUCCUAAACACAUUAAGUUACUGCCACGUGUUACGAUUUUCUCCCUUACUCUCCUACUGUGGAUUUAGGAGAAUAAUGCUACACCAGUUCUCAAUAUAUUAUCUUCAUAAACAGAUGGGCUAGAUUUUUUUUUUAAUGAAAACUUGCAUUCUGAAGAAAACAGAAAAAUUUUAAGUGCUUAAAUUGAUGGGGUUUCUUACAUUCAUUUUGGUUUUGAUCACUACUAACCUAGUGAGUACAGCAAUAUCUCCCCGCCUAAAUAAUCUUAAUAAAAGAUCUAAAAAACAGUAGUUCUACUACGUAUACAAUUGGAAGAUUUUGCUGAGUAUUACAAUCAUGUCUCAUUUCAAUCAAGUGCCAUGUAUGCUCAUUUAGGUGUGUAACCUAAGUUCUUUCUCUGAAAGCUGUGUUGUGGCUGAUGGCUUUGCAAGAUAUACAUCGGGCCUAUUUACACAAGCCAUGGCCUUUACAUCCUUAAAGUGAAUGCUAUCAUAUAACAAACAAUGAAAUAAGAACUUUUUCAAGAGAUUGUAUUCAAAGGAUUGAUAAUGCAAUCAUAACUCCAUGCUCAUUCGAUUACAAUUGUCCAAAUGUCAGCCAGAAAGCUGUGGUUUUCUCUUUUUCUCAUAUAUUUCUGUUUUACACAGCUUCUAGAAAACCGCAUUAUUAGAGGGCCUCCCUUAAAUAAUACAUUAAAAUCAAAGAAUGUGUCUCUCCUGUAAGAACAUAAAACCAAGCCUCCUAGGUCAGAUCAAAGGACCUUAUCUUUGAGUAUUUUUCUUAGUAGUGAACAAGGCAAAUGGCUAACUUGAAUAAUCUUUUUCAGCCUCCUAUGAAUGGCUCACAGACUUCCUGAGCUACGGGUAGGAAGGUAUUCCCAUAGAUUCAUAUAUUCUUUUAUUUCUUUCUUCCUAAGAACGUUAAUUUAUUGAUUUAAUAGUAUUUUAUCUGUGGAUGUUUUGCCAGGGCAUUGAAAUGUGAAGGAGUCUGUCAAAAGAAACAAAGAAAUGAAAAUCAGUGUUUGUCUUCAUUUGGGGUUGCCAAUGCCCCCACUUUUGUCUCCCACAGUUCCACUGACAAAAUCUUGCUGCUUUGAAAGUCAUGUCUCCUCACACUGCUGGCUGGCACCUUCUAGGCUCCAGAGAAAUGCAGGUGUCUUGCAAGGUCUGCAGUGAAGGAAGACAGUUUCCUUCACCAGUAUAAGGCCCUUGAACUUGUCUCAGUGUUCAGUGGCAAGCCACUGAUGAGCAUGGAGCAUGGGGAGAGGUACUCAUGGCAACCUGUGUUGCUAGGCAGAUGGGUUAUUUAUUGUGUUUUGUUCCUGCCACAGUGUUCUCAGAGAUCCUGGCUCCAUUUCUAGAUAGAAUCAAUGGUAAUAAAGUCUGAAGGUUAAAAUAUAUGGAUCUCUAGGGCCAUUUCUGCUCCUGGGUGGGAUGGGGAACAGCAACCUUCCACUUGCAUAUAAAAGUGAGAGUUUUUUCCUGCUGCAACUCCUUGGGCAUAGUCCCAGGGGCUAAGCACUGUCAGUAGUUUCUUGCCAUUGAGGAAUAUUGCUGAAAAAUGCACGUUCAGCCACAUUUCCCCAAAUGCAACUUUCCAGAAACUGGACAGGAGCAUCUAACGAUCCACGGGAUCAUAGCUGUGUGUAAGCAGCAAGUGGUAUUUGCCAGGACAGUUGAUGAUGAUGCCAUCCAGUGGAAUGAAAAUGAUUUCAGAUGCUGCCAUUGCAAGCAGAUUUUGAACCUACAUUUCCCUUCCUUCCAAGUUUUACUUACAGACUUAGCAAAAAAUGGAGCUUACUACCUCUAAAACAACAAUUUACCCUUG